rnacentral:rRNA from 1 species
UACAGAGGGUGCGAGCGUUGUUCGGAAUUACUGGGCGUAAAGGGUUCGUAGGUGGCCAACUAAGUCAGACGUGAAAUCCCUCAGCUUAACUGGGGAACUGCGUCUGAUACUGGAUGGCUUGAGUGUAGGAGAGGAAUGCGGAAUUCCAGGUGUAGCGGUGAAAUGCGUAGAUAUCUGGAGGAACACCGGUGGCGAAGGCGGCAUUCUGGACUACAACUGACACUGAGGAACGAAAGCCAGGGGAGCAAACGGG